GCGCAGCAGGCGCGAAACCUCCGCAAUACACGAAAGUGUGACGGGGCCAUCCCGAGUGCCGUCCGCUGAGGACGGUUUUCCCCAGUGUACAUAGCUGGGGGAAUAAGGAGAGGGCAAGCCUGGUGUCAGCCGCCGCGGUAAUACCAGCUCUCCGAGUGGUGGGGACGCUUAUUGGGCCUAAAGCAUCCGUAGCCGGCUGGGCAAGUCCUCCGUUAAAUCCAACGAUUCAAUCGUUGGGCUGCGGGGGAUACUGUCCAGCUUGGGGGCGGGAGAGGCCGACGGUAUUCCCGGGGUAGGGGUGAAAUCCUAUAAUCCCGGGAGGACCACCAGUGGCGAAGGCUGUCGGCUAGAACGCGCCCGACGGUGAGGGAUGAAAGCUGGGGGAGCGAACCGGAUUAGAUACCCGGGUAGU
rnacentral:rRNA from 1 species